UUACAAUCAGAUCAAAAUUUUAGAAGCUAAAUAAGAAAUACUUCUGUACGGGCACACACGCCCACUUACUACUGGUCUUAGUAGCUUUGACUGACAAUCUGAUACAUUCAUAAUGUCAACUGAUUUGAAAGAAAGAAAAUAAAAGAACACUUUUUUGCUUUUGUGUUUAAAAUGCAGCAAGACUGACUCGCAUACAAUGGAAGGAAUUGAUCUUCUGUAAGGGUAUUGAUAAGAAUACGUUUUGGAAAGAUAAUACAAAGAAACCCGUCGGGUGAUACGUUAGUGGACAUCAACUAUUUAAUUUAUUUGCUCGGCUUGCCGAUAUGGAAAGUCUAAAGCCCAAUCAAUAAAAUUGGAUCAAGAAUUUUUAAGUUAUUAGAUUCAUGAGGGUACUUCGUCUUGUAUGUCAGGAGGGGUCCAUUUUUAU